GGAAACUUACAAUCAUGAUGGAAGGUGAAGGGAAAGCAAGGCACCUUCUUCACGAUCAUGGUGGAAGAGAUUCAGGCAAGUCUCAUGUGGCAGCAGGCAAGAGAGAGAGAAGGGAUUCUGGUCCAGAAGUCCCCCCUGGCAGCUGUCACCCUACGGAUUUGCAGAGAUGAACUCUCUUACUGGGCCUCCAGUGGAAGUGAGAAGGAAGCUGAUUUCUGCAGAGGAAGACAGGGAGAUGACAGGUUUCUUUGAUAGAUGUUUGAAUUUUGUUUUUCUAGGGCAAGGCAACUCAUUUGGUGGACAUAACAGGCAAUCUGGUCUCCACACAGACAAUCCAGAUGGUUGUUACGAGUUGAGAGGAGCUGGCCAUCGGGAGGCUCAGGCCAGCUCUUUUAUUACAGACCAUCUUCUCCCCACAGUCUGCAAGCUGCAUGGUUUCCUCUGAAGGACUGCGUGUUUAAAAAUUCAAACAUCCAUACGACUCUUUAUUUUCAAAAAUUAAGUGCUACAUAGAAGUAUGCUAAACUCAAGGCCAUGAAAUACUAUCCAGUUUUGCCAUCUUCCUAAGGCAAAAUGCUCAUGAGUUGGAAGCAUGGGACACAUUAAUCAACAUAGAGCUAAUCCUGGCUCUGACCUUAGCUCACUGUAUGGCCUCAGACCACUCACGUCUCUUCUCUGGAUUUUAUCCACCUCCAAGUGUAAAUAGUCUUGGGUCCCUAUCAGUUUUGACAGAAAAUGAUAGGUUUAAUUCAAUAAGUCUGUCUCAAUUCGAAUCACUGGGUUUUUAAUUAGUACAGUAGUCUUUCCUUAAUUACAGGGGAUACAUUCUAAGACACCCUGUAGGUGGCUGAAACCACAGGCAGUACUGACCCUAUUGCCAUCAAGUGGAACAUGUUUCGGUUCAUGUCUUCUAUCCACAAAUGUAGAGCCUUUUUCAUUUUAACUAAGCACUUAACACGCACCGCAGCUGUAACUUUUGCAGUUUGAGGUGUGACAGCAAAACUAGCAUGAAUUUCUUUUUUUCUUCACAAUUUCUUGAGUAGAAGACUGAAUCUUAGCAGCCUCAGCACACAAUUUUUUUUCUUUCCUGAAGCCGAGAACUUUCCUCUUUUCACUUAAAGGCAGCACUCUAUGGCUUCUGUUUAGUACAUCGACGUUGCCAGCAUUACUACUCUUGCGCUCCAGGACCAUUAUGCAGUAAAAUCAGGGUGAUCUGAACACAAGCAUGGUGGCACCACCAUAGUCGAUCUGAUCUCUGAGGUUGCUGCUCAGUGAGUCAUGAGUGGGGAGCAUGGAUAGCGUGGAUCCGCUGGACAGAGGCUGAUUCACUUCCCAGGAAUGAACGUGGAAGUGUAUCCAACUGGAAGAAUAAGUCCAAACCAAGGAGAUUUUGAGAGUCAAACUUAGGGAAAACCAAGAAGAAACUAAAAGUCCAGAGAUUGAACCACCAAAUGUAAGAACUAAUCUCCUACUAAUAGGAGGAAUCAACAUGUUCUUUCCAACAGACCUGUAGCCUCUGAUGGCACACAGUGUCACUGAGAUCAGCUGGGUGGUCAGGUGUUUGAGCCACCUUGAAACACCAGCAGCUGAGGAAAAGAGCUCCUGCUGCACCUGCUGGGAGCGGUGGGGUUGGGGCUUCCCACUUCCCGAAGCCCUGGAAAAGGGCACCCAGACAUUUUACAGAAUCCUUGAGAUGGAAGGUGAGUUUUCCAGGCCAUUCCACAGGUUAAGCCUGCUGGCUGAUUCAGCCAUACAGGAGAGUUUGCCUGGGAAUGGAUACCCCAGUGGCUGCUACUUUGACUGAUAAAGCAAGCCCAGGAAGAUGGUUGAGAAUAGUUUGUGCACUCCGAUUAUCUCUGACAUUUUCCCAACUCAUAGUUGGAGCAGAGCUAUGACAAAGGCAUGCAUGUUGCUAGUGCAGACAUCCUCUUGGCUGUUAAGGGCUGAAUUCUGUACCCCCACGUUCAUAUGUUGAAACCCUAACAUCCAAUAUCUCAAAAUGUGCCUGUGGAGACAGGGCCUUCAAAGAGGUUGCUGAAUUAAAAUUUGGUCAUAUGGGUGGGCCUAAUCCAAUCUCACCUGUGUGUUUAUAAAAGGAGAUUAGAACACAGACACGCCAGGGGGAAGACCAUGUAGGGAAACAGGGCAAAGGAACUGCCUGCAAGCAAGAGAGAGGCCACAGAGGGAACCAACUCCGCAGACAUUUCGAUCUCGGGCUUCCAGCCUCCAGAACUAUGAGACAAUACAUUUCUACUGUUUAGCCACCCAGUCUUCAUACUUUGUUACAGGGGCCCUAGCCACCUGUAGACCAGCAUAGGGUCAAAAAGCUGUCAUGACCAAGUGCCCACACUGGGUCAGCAGUCCCAGAAGCAGUAUCAGAAUCAUCUGUGCAGAUAAAACUCUGAAGUCCAAGAAAGAGCCAUUGGCACACAAAUAAGACCAGAACAAAUCAGGGAACCAGGUGAUGACCUUUACUGUCAGAGAUCCGUGUAUACAGUACAGUCAGCUGACAAGAGGGCUCUCAAUCGUGGCCACAUAUUUGAAUCACCUGGGGAGCUGUUAAAACCCAUGACACUAGGUCACAACCUAGACAAAUGAAAUCGGAAUCCCUGGAGGGUGAGACCCAGGCAUCAAGAAGGAUUUAAGAUCUCUGCAAGAUUCAAAUAGGCAGCCAAAGUUGAGAACAGCUGGCUUAAAGAGAUUACGAGACUUUGUUACAGUAUCUCAGCACGGAUUACAUUUCAAUUUAGUUCUUUGCUAUUAUUCUUAUCCUCUGAAAUGUUUACACCACACGACGGCCUAUCACUGGCUCUGAAUUUUAUAUCAUAAUCACAUAAUAGGUUCCUCACUUAAGUUGUAGACAUAGGCAAAACUUUUCUUGUUUUUGAUGUAAGAUAAAGGGAGAGAAUGACUGGAGCAAAACAAAAAUAAGAUAAUACAAAAUAAGUCAUGGGGUGGCAUCACAUUUUAAGAGUCUUCAUUUAUGACAAAAGCACAAGCUUAUUUGUUGGGGACAUAACUUUUGCCAUUUUUCCUACCUUGACUGUUUAAGCUCGCAGCAAUUUUAUAGCUCGCUGUACAGGCUAAGGCUUUUGGUGCCUUUCUUUUUUAAGCUGUGUCAAAAUACCUUUAAGGAAAAAAGAUGAUUUGAAAGGUAUAAACCCAACGAAAGUAAUAGCACAGUUACAGUUUUUGUGUUUGGGCAGAUUUUAAGACAUUUCUAUGUAUUUUUCUGACACAAUGGAUCCUAAGGACUGCCGUAGACGUAGAUUAGUCUGAUUUUAGGCCAUUGCUUUGCAGCAUUAUGCAGUUUUUAUCUGAAAGACGUUUCAAGAGGGGGAGCUAGUUAGCUAAUUAAUUAGAGAUUGUGACUUAAAUUUUUCAGACAAGAGAUACUUUCCGAGUUUAAGGAGAACCCGAAGAAAGCUGCGUUUCUGUAUCCGUGCCAUGGGAAGUCUCCUGUCCUGUUUCCACUCUGCCUUCUCCAUAAAGCAGGCUGAUUAUCAGGGCCCUCACACAAGCCCAGCGUGGUAGCUGAUUAAGGCUUGACAAGCAAAAAGCAAACAGGAUUUCUAAUCAUGUGUCUCAUAGAAAUGGAGCCACAAAAACCCAAAGAAUUGCCAUUACACCCCAAGUCAUGCAAUUUAGAGCAACUCAGGAAAUAGGUGCACACAAGCAAACCAUGUGGUUAAAGCCUUUGGAACUGGUUUGAGCAAAGCUGUAGGUGAUUUGACAAAAUCAUCUGCAAAACCAGAUUUCUAACACCUCCCUGCUGUGUAUCUCAUUUCUGCUGAUGUGUGGUGCUUCAUAAGAUGGGGACGUUAAGCAUGCAGCAACUACAGUCAUUUGUUCUCAGAGGUCUGGACCAAAGAGAAACAAGAAAAGCUGGAGUCACACUACCAAAGGCCGAAGCUGAGCAACAGAGCUCUGGAGUCAGCUGCCUGGGUUCAGCAUGCAGCGCUGCCGUGGACGAUCUGUCUCUCUUGCAUAUAUGACUUACCAGUUUUACUUUCAGUCUCUCCAUUUCUAAUUAAAUGAGAUGCAGAAAUGCUGGUGCCUUGCUAUGAUGUUUGCAGUUAUUAUUUCUAGGAAAAAAAAUAUUAUUGUUACUCAGUAUCUGGUACAUCAAAACUAAGCCAGAAACGUUUAAAAAGAACAAAAGUAUCAUUUCUACUUAAUUCUCUAGCUACUUGGACAACUGGACUAUGCCCCUCCUUUCAAGGGAGGGCAAAGCAUUUCAGAAAAGAACUAAGUGCUAUUUCUCUGCUUCAGGAAUGUCUCCCGUAUGUAAAAGAAUGUGGCUUCAGGGAGUAGCAUGUGUUGUAAAGGUGGAUGGGUCUAACUUCAUGGACAGCUCUGACAUCCACUAGCUAUGCCACCUGAUGCAAACCACUUGGGCUGUCUGUAGUUUCGUUUAUCUUUCUGGAAUUGGUAAUAACAACCACCUGGCAAGAUCACUGUUAUGAAUACGGAGGAUCAAAGUUGUGAAGUUAUUUUGUAAAGUGAAAUGUUCUGAAAAUUGGAUUUUAACAGUGUCAGCGAAAAGUAGAUUUUUGACAUUUAUCAAGAGUUCAGCUAAUGAAAACAAGUAUGGAUAAUAGUUACAUAGAACUGUCUACUUUACUCAGUACUUUAGCAUAUGCUAUUAUAUUUAAUCUUCUUAAAAAGUAGAAAAUUAUACAAGCCAUGUAUUACUAUUAUUGUGGUGGUUGUCGUUCUCAAUUACACACUGAAUAUUAAGACCUCUCAGGUAGCAGCUGGAAGGACAUUGUAUCCAGUUUCCUGAUUGUUUUCAAUGGAAUAAUCAUGUAUACAUGCACUACUAAUGAGACAAUGGUGAUUCUAAAAGCUUAA
rnacentral:lncRNA from 1 species